ACGAAACGGCGUCGUUCCUGUCCUUCCUUCCAAUCAUCUUCUUCAAUUCUUUUCUUUUCGCUUUAUUUUUCAAGCAGCUCGACCAUGUCCUGUGUGCUUUAUUUUCUCUUUUCUUUUAAUCAGUUUGCUGGAAAACGACGUCGUUGAACGCCCGAGCCUAACUAUGGCCAACAAUUGUUGACCCCCAAUUAACAUAUGUUAGAUAUAUAUAUAUAUAUAUAUAUAUAUAUAUAUAUAUAUAUAUAUAUAUAUAU
rnacentral:lncRNA from 1 species